rnacentral:rRNA from 1 species
UACGUAGGGGGCAAGCGUUGUCCGGAUUUAUUGGGCGUAAAGAGCGUGUAGGCGGCCAAACAGGUCAGCUGUGAAAACUCGAGGCUCAACCUCGAGACGUCGGUUGAAACCGCUUGGCUAGAGUCCGGAAGAGGAGAGUGGAAUUCCCGGUGUAGCGGUGAAAUGCGCAGAUAUCGGGAAGAACACCCGUGGCGAAGGCGGCUCUCUGGGACGGUACUGACGCUGAGACGCGAAAGCGUGGGGAGCGAACAGG